GAUGAACGCUGGCGGCGUGCCUAAUACAUGCGAGUCGAGCGAACAGACGAGGAGCUUGCUCCUCUGACGUUAGCGGCGGACGGGUGAGUAACACGUGGAUAACCUACCUAUAAGACUGGGAUAACUUCGGGAAACCGGAGCUAAUACCGGAUAAUAUAUUGAACCGCAUGGUUCAAUAGUGAAGGACGGUUUUGCUGUCACUUAUAGAUGGAUCCGCGCCGCAUUAGCUAGUUGGUAAGGUAACGGCUUACCAAGGCAACGAUGCGUAGCCGACCUGAGAGGGUGAUCGGCCACACUGGAACUGAGACACGGUCCAGACUCCUACGGGAGGCAGCAGUAGGGAAUCUUCCGCAAUGGGCGAAAGCCUGACGGAGCAACGCCGCGUGAGUGAUGAAGGUCUUCGGAUCGUAAAACUCUGUUAUUAGGGAAGAACAAAUGUGUAAGUAACUAUGCACGUCUUGACGGUACCUAAUCAGAAAGCCACGGCUAACUACGUG
rnacentral:rRNA from 1 species